rnacentral:rRNA from 1 species
GAGUUUGAUCUUGGCUCANGACGAACGCGGCGGCGUUGNUUAACACAUGCAAGUCGAACGAUGAUGCCCAGCUUGCUGGGCGGAUUAGUGGCGAANGGGUGAGUAACACGUGGGUGAUCUGCCCUGCACUUCGGGAUAAGCCUGGGAAACUGGGUCUAAUACCGGAUAUGACCACAGGAUGCAUGUUUUGUGGUGGAAAGGUUUACUGGUGCAGGAUGAGCCCGCGGCCUAUCAGCUUGUUGGUGGGGUAAUGGCCUACCAAGGCGACGACGGGUAGCCGGCCUGAGAGGGCGACCGGCCACACUGGGANUGAGACACGGCCCAGACUCCUACGGGGCGCAGCAGA